GACGAACCGUGCGAACGUUGUUCGGAAUCACUGGGCUUAAAGGGCGCGUAGGCGGGGGAGCAAGUCCGGGGUGAAAUCGUUCGGCUCAACCGAACCACUGCCUCGGAUACUGCUCCUCUCGAGGGGGUAGGGGCAGCUGGAACUUCCGGUGGAGCGGUGAAAUGCGUUGACAUCGGAAGGAACGCCGGUGGCGAAGGCGGCAUCCUGGACCAAUUCUGACGCUGAGGAGCGAAAGCCAGGGGAGCAAACGGG
rnacentral:rRNA from 1 species